GUUAGGGUGGUUUAAGGGUUGUGGUGGUGUUUAAGGGUUAGGGUGGUGGUUGUGGGUUAGGGUGGUGGUUAAGGUUUGGUGGUGGGGGUUAGGGUGGUGGUUAAGGGUUAGGGUGGUGGUUAAGGUUUAGGGUUAGGUGGUGGUUAAGGGUUAGGGCGGUGGUUAAGGGUUAGGGUGGUGGUUAAGGGUUAGGGUGGUGGUUAAGGGUUAGCGUGGUGGUUAAGGGUUAGGGUUAGGGUGGUGGUUAAGGGUUAGGGUUAGGGUGGUGGUUAAGGGUUAGGGUUAGGGUGGUGGUUAAGGGUUAGGGUUAGGGUGGUGGUUAAGGGUUAGGGUGGUGGUUAAAGG
ensembl:lncRNA